CCUACGGGAGGCAGCAGUGAGGAAUUUUCCGCAAUGGGCGAAAGCCUGACGGAGCAAUACCGCGUGAGGGAUGAAGGAUUUUGGUCUGUAAACCUCUUUUCUCAAGAAAGAAGUUCUGACGGUACUUGAGGAAUAAGCAUCGGCUAACUCCGUGCCAGCAGCCGCGGUAAUACGGGGGAUGCAAGCGUUAUCCGGAAUGAUUGGGCGUAAAGCGCCUGUAGGUUGUUUAUUAAGUCCGUUGUUAAAGCCUAGGGCUUAACCCUAGAAAAGCAAUGGAAACUAGUAGACUAGGGUAUGGCAGGGGUAGAGGGAAUUUCUAGUGUAGCGGUGAAAUGCGUAGAUAUUAGAAAGAACACCGGUGGCGAAAGCGCUCUACUGGACCAUUACUGACACUCAGAGGCGAAAGCUAGGGUAGCAAAAGGGAUUAGAUACCCCUGUAGUCCUAGCCGUAAACGAUGGAUACUAGAUGUUGUGNAUAUAGUACUAGUAUACGUAGUACGUACGUACGUUAACGUACUACCGUCCGUCGGGUAGGUACGUCGUCGCGAGGUAGGUAACGUACGAACGAAGUAGUAGACGNGAGAGACGUCGUACGACGACGACGACGGAGGUUAGGUAG
rnacentral:rRNA from 1 species